rnacentral:rRNA from 1 species
AACGAACGCUGGCGGCAGGCCUAACACAUGCAAGUCGAGCGGACCUUUCGGGGUCAGCGGCGGACGGGGGGGUAACGGGUGGGAAUAUGCCCUUCUCUACGGAAUAGUCCUGGGAAACUGGGGGGAAUACGGGAGACGCUCUUGCGGGGGAAGAGUGAUCGGGGGAGGUUGAGCCCGGGUUGGCUUGGGUGGUUGGUGGGGUAAUUGGCUACCAAGCCGACGAUCCAUAGCUGGUUAGUGAGGCAGAGCAGCCACACUGGGACUGGGACACGGCCCAGACUCUUACGGGAGGCAGGAGUGGGUAAUCUAGGCCAACGGGGGCAGUCCUGAACUAGCCCGGACGGGUGAGUGCUGAAGGCUUUAGGGUUGUACAGCUCUUUAAGCUGGGACGAUAAUGACGGUACCAGCAGAAGAAGCACCGGCUAACUCCGUG